rnacentral:rRNA from 1 species
AAUAUUGGACAAAGGGCGCAAGCCUGACCCAGCAAUGCCGCGUGAGUGAUGAAGGCCUUAGGGUUGUAAAGCUCUUUCGGUGGGGACGAUUAUGAAGGUACCCGCCGAAGAAGCCCCGGCCAACUUCGUGCCAGCAGCUGCGGUAAUACGAACGGGGCAAGCGUUGUUCGGAAUUACUGUGCGUAAAGGGCGCGCAGGCUGUCCUUCAAGUCAGGCGUGAAAGCCCCGGGCUCAACCUGGGAAUUGCGCUUGAGACUGGGGGACUCGAGGACGGGAGAGGAGAGUGGAAUUCCCAGUGUAGAGGUGAAAUUCGUAGAUAUUGGAAAGAACACCGAUGGCGAAGGCAGCUCUCUGGACCGUUUCUGACGCUGAGGCGCGAAAGCGUGGGGAGCAAACAGG